rnacentral:sRNA from 1 species
UUUCUGCCCAAGCGGGGAAGGAUGAGAAGCUUCGACCAAGGUUCGACUUGAGCGCCAGCGAGAGAGCGUUGCCGCAGGCAACGACCCGAAGGGCGAAGCGCGCAGCGCUGAGUAAUCCUUCCCCCACCACCA